UUGGAAACCAGUGCUGUGGCCUUGCCUUUCUGUGCCUCUUCCUGGCUCACAGGCAGCUGGGGGCAGACCUUGAGUUCCUCUUCAGGGACAGAGUGAUGUUGAAUGGGCACUGAGCAGGCAGAGAAACACAGCUGAGGCAGCUCCUUUCAGUUAUUAAACACAUCAUCUCCUUCCGAUCUUAAGGGCUAUUGCUGAGGUCUUGCCCCCAUACCUACCUUAAUAGCAGUGAAUUUGUUACACAGCAGCCAGCUCUUUCCUAUUGCUCUGUAAUACGCCUCCACAUCAUGGAUGCCAAGAAAAACACUAACAAAGAACAAAAAACUCUGACGUUGAACUGUGUGGUGCUGGUCACAUACCCUGUUAUGUUCUGUAUGUUAUGAGGUUUGUUAAUCUUAACAAGUUCCCCAAGUGUAUUCUUCACAUAGGACCCAAUAGAUUCAAGGAAAAUAGGAACAAUUAUGUGUAAAAUGGCCUGAGUCAGGGCCCACAGACCGAAGCAUUUCCAACACUUGUGCACCAGCCCAUGUGGAUUUUGCAAUGAGCGGGGCCUAGCAAUGUCCAGUACACAGUUGUGAGCUGUUGCUCUGGUUGAACUGUAUUGGUGUGUGCAUUAAUAAACUACACCUAUUUAAAUGAAUUCAGUGUCCUGUGGUUUGAAUCCAGACCCCUUGACACCAGGUCUUCCCUUCUGCAGCACUCGGGAAAAAGGCUAAGUUUAGGAAAGGUGACCUCUUGUCAUAAGUUAUGUGACAAGAGGGAUGGUGAAUGAUCCCUUGUGAUAAGAAUCAAGGUUUCCUCUGUGGUAUUUAGGUCUAUACUGGCCCUGUGCAACAGCUUCAAGAACCCAUUUCUGAUUUUCCUUGGGAUUCCCGUGAUGAUGCACUCAGACAGGAUUGGAAACAACCAAAACGGUGGUCAGACUUGAUUUAUAAAAUGUAGGUAACAUUGCAAACUUAUGUUGUAGGAUAUUUGAUCAUAUUGUCAUCCCCAAUAUUGUGUUAUU
rnacentral:sRNA from 1 species